rnacentral:rRNA from 1 species
AGCUUGCUUCCAAAGAGACUUAGUGGCGAACGGGUGAGUAACACGUAGGUAACCUGCCCAUGUGCCCGGGAUAACUGCUGGAAACGGUAGCUAAAACCGGAUAGGUAUGAGGGAGGCAUCUUCCUCAUAUUAAAGCACCUUCGGGUGUGAACAUGGAUGGACCUGCGGCGCAUUAGCUGGUUGGUGAGGUAACGGCCCACCAAGGCGAUGAUGCGUAGCCGACCUGAGAGGGUGAACGGCCACAUUGGGACUGAGACACGGCCCAAACUCCUACGGGAGGCAGCAGUAGGGAAUUUUCGUCAAUGGGGGGAACCCUGAACGAGCAAUGCCGCGUGUGUGAAGAAGGUCUUCGGAUCGUAAAGCACUGUUGUAAGUGAAGAAUGCCACAUAGAGGAAAUGCUAUGUGGGUGACGGUAGCUUACCAGAAAGCCACGGCUAACUACGUGCCAGCAGCCGCGGUAAUACGUAGGUGGCAAGCGUUAUCCGGAAUCAUUGGGCGUAAAGGGUGCGUAGGUGGCACGAUAAGUCUGAAGUAAAAGGCAACAGCUCAACUGUUGUAUGCUUUGGAAACUGUCGAGCUAGAGUGCAGAAGAGGGCGAUGGAAUUCCAUGUGUAGCGGUAAAAUGCGUAGAUAUAUGGAGGAACACCAGUGGCGAAGGCGGUCGCCUGGUCUGUAACUGACACUGAUGCACGAA